rnacentral:snoRNA from 1 species
ACUAGAGAAGUUUCUCUGAAUGUGUAGCGUAUGUGGAGGCGGGGCGUAGUGUUCUUUCCUGAGUGUGAUGCUGAUGCUAGCUGUUCUUUUCACAGCUACCCUUUGUCAUUGAUGAUCGUUCUUCUCUCUCUUUUGGGGGAGUUAG